UAUACCAAUUCCACCAAUUAACCAAAACCCUUAACCAAUACUGAAUGACUCCAUAAACAUAUGGAAUACUAUAUGCUAGAACUAGUAAUAAGAAGAAGACCUUCUCCAAAAUAUAAGUGUGAGCCGAAAUGAACAAUUCACCGGCAUUUAACGCAACUGAACUAAUAGUAGUAACAAAAACAAGAAAACCCUACUAUCUUGCUGCGUCAACCUUACACUAGAAUAUUCCAGGAAAGAUUAAAAGAAAAGGAAGGAACUCGGCAAACCUAAUAACCCCGCCUGUUUACCAAAAACAUCGCCUCUUGCAAAAUAUAAGAGGUCCAGCCUGCCCAGUGACAAAGUUAAACGGCCGCGGUACCCUAACCGUGCGAAGGUAGCGCAAUCACUUGUUCUUUAAAUGAGGACUAGUAUGAAUGGCAUCACGAGGGUUACACUGUCUCCCUUUUCCAAUCAAUGAAACUGACCUCCCCGUGAAGAGGCGGGGAUAAAAUUAUAAGACGAGAAGACCCCAUGGAGCUUUAAACUCAGUAUCAACUAUCUAACUAUACACCAUCAAAAUUUGAUAGUUCUGACCACUAGUUUUCGGUUGGGGUGACCGCGGAGCAAAACAAAACCUCCACGAUGAACGGACCAAUGUUCCUAAUCAUAGAGCUACAGCUCAAAGAAUCAAAAAAUUGACAUAAAUUGAUCCAAUUAAUUUUGAUCAACGAACCAAGUUACCCUGGGGAUAACAGCGCAAUCCACUUCAAGAGCUCCUAUCGA
rnacentral:rRNA from 1 species